UGUAAACUUCGAAAACAUUGGGGGAAAAAUAACUAAAUAAUUAUAUAGCUAAAAGAAGUCCGCUUAGCUGAAUUUUAGAUAAAAACAUUGUGUUGGCAGUGAUCAAUGAGCGAAGCGGUAAGGGAGAUCACUGCGUUGGAGUUUGUGUAAAUGGAGAGAACACUGGACGCGUUCAUCUGUAUUCAAUUUUGGAACACUACCUGUUAUACUCUGAACACCGAUGUUUGGUACAAGUCUUCUGUGUACGAUUGGAACGCGUGAUUUGAACGACAGCAUUCAAUACUAGUUCGUCUUCCAAGAAAAGACAAGACAUAUUUUACUGUUUUGAAUAUUACUGGACUAGGGGUCACAUCCUGAUUAGGUGCAGUUGACUACUUAUCCUUACAGUGCUCUAUAUAAAGUUCUUCAGCAAAAGCAUGUAGUGAGCAGAUAUAGAUAGAAGCUGAAGCAACGCGAGCGGAAUAAGAAGGGCAAAUGUCAUUUCCAGACUCCUAAAGCGAUCAUUGAGGCUGCUGAAGAACAGGACUUUGCGGUCAAGUUGGAGGUAAAACAAAACACUCCUCCAAAACUGGUGAUACAUUGUAUUUACCGGAAAUGACAAAGCAGAGGCAGCCUAUGUAGUAGGAGAUUGUACUGCCAUAAGGUGCAAUAGGGAGUGUCCAGUGUUAUUUGCAGUUCAGUUAUUUGCAACCUCUUGUGUUUUCGACAUUGAAUAUCCAUUCUAUUCUUAAGCAAUGUCUUAUGGAUUCUUGCAGCAAUUUGUAUUUGAAGAACAGUAUACAAACGAAAGUUAAAAAAUCAAGUUUUUUUUUCUGUUAGAAGUUUAGAACAGUAUUUAAAUAAAUGAGUUACUUGAUUAAGGUAUUGGGAGCAUGAUAAACUUGGCAGCCAUUUGCAAAUAUUUCUUUCUUCUGAAAUAUCAUUCUGGUUUGUAUUUUGCUGAAAUCAAAAGCACCUCCAGAUAGAGAACAGUUUUCAGUUUUCAAUACUGCUAAUAUUAAUGAAUGGCACCACUGGUCACUUCUGAGCAGAUAGAUUGACAUUUUUCAAAUAAUAUUAUUGAUACUGAGCUUUUCAAAACGGUAUUAUUGGUUGAUUGACAUAUUUUCCAAAAUGGAACUAUUGGUACUGAGCAAGUUGACUGACAUUUUCCAAAUGUUUCUAUUAGUACUGAGCAGAUAGAUUGAUAUUUUCUAAAUGCUAUUGGAACUGAGCAGGCUUUUAACAUUUUCCAAAUGGUACUGUUUAUAUAUAAUAUUGCAUAUUACAGUAAUUCAUACAGUAAAUGUGUACUUUCUAAUGUUCUGAGCUGUAUGUAAGAAUAAAAUGAUAGUAUAUUUUUUCUAUAUCAUUGUAUUAAUCUGUCAGGGUUGAGUCUAGUCGAAAUGUUUUGUGCAACUGGUAAAAUAAUUUUGUAACGAGUGAUUCCAACAUUACCUGUUUUACUUGCUUUGGGCAAAUGUCAAAGUCAUGCGUCAGUGUCUUUUUGUUUAAAAAAUAACCUGAAUUUUUCUUAAGUACCAUUUUAUCUUUGAAACUUGGAUUAUGACCAUCGUCUAUUUGCAGGAGUACAUAAUUCUACAUCAAUAUUUUUUCAUAAUGGUCAUUUUUUACACAGUCUCUUAACUUUGGAUUUUACUUACAUUGUUUCUUACAUCGGAAAGCAUUGAGAAUUGUAGAGCAUAUUGUUUUACUGUUUUAAACAGCUUUUGUGCAGCACUGUUAAAUGACAGCAUUUAUUUACUAAUAUGUAAGUUUUUAGGGAAGGGAGCACUUUUACAGGAAAUUAUGUUCAAAACAUGGUAACUUUUUUGUCAUGUACUAUACUGAUUCAGAUGUUUUGCUUCUUUUCAUCCAUUUGGCGACAGGAGCAUUGUUUUAUAAUAUGCUGAUUAAAUAAAUCAUUUUAGAGCAAAGCAGUAUAUACAGUAAGAUAAAUUUUAUUUUGCACUCAAGCAGUUCGGCCAUGCGCUUCCAUAAAAACAAUCACAAUAUACACAAAAACAGGCUGUGUAACAGAUAAUUAGAUAUUUUGCAACAGACUCUAUAAUCUGUAUAUGGCAGUUUUCCAAAGUACAACUAAAGAACACUACACUUGUACAUAAAAAGCUCAUGCUUGUAGUUGCACUGUCAUGUAAAUGGCAUGACAUGAAAUGUUAGUUAUUCUUCAAAAUGUUUUUGAAAUAAAGUUCUUUUUUUCAGCAGUAAAUUUUAUUUAUGUAUACCAAAUAUCCCUAAGGAAAACAUGUCUGUUAUCCAGUGUUCAAAACUGUGCGCAAUAUGUUCAACUAAUGCUCAAAGUCUUAACGUUCAUAUCAUUGAACAUGUUCUAGGUGUUCAAUAUCUGUUGCAUUUGAAUUGCACACGUCCGGAGUUCAACAAAAGAACACCUGAGUGUUCAUGGAGUGUUUACGGAACUGUUGGUGUUAACAAUCUGAACACUAACAUUAAAGAAUAGAACAUGGCUGGUGUUAAAGAUGGUCAAUCACAUUUAAACAACAUUUAAUGACAUUUUUUACUUUUUGUAUAUUCUGGUAGAGAAUUAUUUAAGGAACAAAAAGACUGAUUACAUAGAGUUAGAUUCCUAUUUGAAAUGUAUAUUUUAUUAUUUUUAUAAAAUUUUGUAAUUACUCCCCUUUAAUAUGAAAGUAUA